rnacentral:lncRNA from 1 species
GACUGCUGUGAGGACAGCAUAUAUGAAAAACAAUUGUCAUGAAAAAACCUCAAAAGAUGACUGCUUUAAAAUAUAUACCUAAAUUCUACGAUGGCCAUCAAAGAGAAGACAAAGAAAUGAAUAUAUGGGGGCUGGGAAUUUAGCUCAGCAGCACAGCGCCUGCAUGGCAAGCGCAAGGUCAUGAGUUUGGUUCCUGGUACCGGAAAAAUCCCCCCCCCCACAAAGAAAUGUAUAUACAAUAACUUUUAACAUUUUCUGCAGUACUU